rnacentral:misc_RNA from 1 species
UUAAGUUCAGCGGGUAUCCCUACCUGAUCCGAGGUCAAGAGUAAAAAAGGGCUUCUGGAUGCCAAUGUACCAGCAUAGAGUACGCAAUGUGCUGCGCUCAAAGCCGAAUUACAUGGCUGCCAAUUACUUUAAGGCGAGUCCACGCGCAAUAGCGGGACAAACACCCAACACAAGCAGAGCUUGAGGGUUCAAAUGACGCU